GUUGUAUGGUUAAGUGACUAAGCGUACACGGUGGAUGCCUGGGCAGUCAGAGGCGAUGAAGGACGUACUAACUUGCGAUAAGCGCAGAUAAGGCAGUAAGAGCCGUUUGAGUCUGCGAUUUCCGAAUGGGGAAACCCAACUGCAUAAGCAGUUACUGUUAACUGAAUACAUAGGUUAACAGAGCAAACCGGGGGAACUGAAACAUCUAAGUACCCCGAGGAGAAGAAAUCAACCGAGAUUCCGGUAGUAGCGGCGAGCGAACCUGGAUUAGCCCUUAAGCACUCGGUGAAGUAGGUGAACAAGCUGGAAAGCUUGGCGAUACAGGGUGAUAGCCCCGUAACCGACGCUUCAUCGAGCGUGAAAUCGAGUAGGGCGGGACACGUGAUAUCCUGUCUGAAUAUGGGGGGACCAUCCUCCAAGGCUAAAUACUCCUGACUGACCGAUAGUGAACCAGUACCGUGAGGGAAAGGCGAAAAGAACCCCUGUGAGGGGAGUGAAAUAGAACCUGAAACCGUGUACGUACAAGCAGUAGGAGCACCUUCGUGGUGUGACUGCGUACCUUUUGUAUAAUGGGUCAGCGACUUAUAUUCAGUGGCAAGGUUAACCGUAUAGGGGAGCCGUAGCGAAAGCGAGUCUUAACUGGGCGCUCAGUCUCUGGAUAUAGACCCGAAACCGGGUGAUCUAGCCAUGGGCAGGUUGAAGGUUGAGUAACAUCAACUGGAGGACCGAACCGACUAAUGUUGAAAAAUUAGCGGAUGACUUGUGGCUAGGGGUGAAAGGCCAAUCAAACUCGGAGAUAGCUGGUUCUCCCCGAAAGCUAUUUAGGUAGCGCCUCGGACGAAUACUACUGGGGGUAGAGCACUGUUAAGGCUAGGGGGUCAUCCCGACUUACCAACCCUUUGCAAACUCCGAAUACCAGUAAGUACUAUCCGGGAGACACACGGCGGGUGCUAACGUCCGUCGUGGAGAGGGAAACAACCCAGACCGCCAGCUAAGGUCCCAAAGUAUUGCUAAGUGGGAAACGAUGUGGGAAGGCUCAGACAGCUAGGAUGUUGGCUUAGAAGCAGCCAUCAUUUAAAGAAAGCGUAAUAGCUCACUAGUCGAGUCGGCCUGCGCGGAAGAUGUAACGGGGCUAAGCAAUACACCGAAGCUGCGGCAAUGUCUUUUAGAUAUUGGGUAGGGGAGCGUUCUGUAAGCCGUUGAAGGUGAAUCGUAAGGUUUGCUGGAGGUAUCAGAAGUGCGAAUGCUGACAUGAGUAACGACAAAGGGGGUGAAAAACCUCCUCGCCGGAAGACCAAGGGUUCCUGUCCAACGUUAAUCGGGGCAGGGUGAGUCGACCCCUAAGGUGAGGCCGAAAGGCGUAAUCGAUGGGAAACGGGUUAAUAUUCCCGUACUUCUGACUAUUGCGAUGGGGGGACGGAGAAGGCUAGGUGGGCCAGGCGACGGUUGUCCUGGUUCAAGUGCGUAGG
rnacentral:rRNA from 1 species